rnacentral:lncRNA from 1 species
ACAGGGCUCUUGUGACCUGGCAGGCAGCUUUCUGGGAGUUGAGGCCUUCGGGGGCGUUCAGGCGCCAGCACCCCCACGUCCAACAGGGGUUGAGCUUACACCCCACUUCCCUUUGUUGCUCAGGUUUCCUAUCCUAGGACACUCGGGCCUGGCGUGCCUGGAAGAGUACUUGGUGACGGGCUGGAGGAAAUGCAAGAGAAGAGGGCUUGCACAUUCUCUUCGGGCUCACUAUUUCCUCCUUUGGUGACAGCCUGUUAAAACCUGGGGGAAAGGAGACUGACAAAGGGCCGUCCAGGCACAUGUAGAAACAUCUGACUACGAAAUCCAUGAGUGUAAUCUGAGAAGUGAUGCUUCUGCCAGUUAUUGAUUUAUUGCCUCUCAGCUCCAAAUUCGCCCUUUUUGACUGCACUGUAAAAACGGAUCUGAGCCUUUUAAACAGUUUUUCGUUUGCCUUCUGGGACUGAAGCUUUAUCAGCAGAGGGCGCUGAAGAGACAUUACAGAAAAAAAGGAUUUUGCUUCCUGAUUUCUGUGUAUUGAUAAGCUUUUGCAGCAUACCUGGCUUUCUCCACUGCCAAGGUCCUAUAGUGCUCAGUAACUAGCAAUUUCCUCUCACAUGCCCAACUCUAGGAGCUUUGUAGAGGAGGUGAGACACUACCCCAUGAAUAACUUCCCUGGCACCCUAGAGGCAUUUGCAGCAAGUUGCAGAGGGCACAUCUUCCACAAGCUUUGCAGACGUAGCCCAAUGGUGACUUCUCUGCCAUUCAGUGAGCCAGGUCAUGCCCUCUCCAAAAACGUCUAGAUCUUAGCCCUGGGAGGAAUUGGGGAGGUUCUUCAUUGGGCACUCUGUCUCUCAACCCAAGAGUUAGUUAUAAGGUUAGCUCCUUAUAGCUGCUGUUGCUAUAUUCUUUAAAGUUCUCUUCUUGCUAGUGAAUCCUUCAUUACUCUAAUCCUCUAUUAUAGUUAACAAUUCUUUUUAUUAAGCCUUCCCUGUCCCGGGAGUAGUCCCAAGAAAUAGACCUGCAAAGAUGGGAUUAAAGGUCAGUUUGAUUGAGGUUUUGAGCUUUAGCUCCUUGCCAAAGGGAAAUGUAAUUCAUGACAUGCUGGGCAUCUCAAUUAAGCAAUUACCUGUGGUUGAUCCUGAUGAAGUGCCAACUGAAGCCUGUGCCUUGGGGCCCCAAGUGGCUGCUACACUUGACUGCUAUGGUUAUAAAGAUGACUAGAAAGACUGGUGUGGGAUGGAUUCUUUUGCGUGCUUUUGAGUGGUUAUAAAGAGAAAUGACAAGCACAGGUUUUUUAACUCUCAGAGUUAUGGUAUGAGAACCAGAGAUAUUCUGCAGAAUUCCAAAAGCUCUGGUUUAUUGUAGCAACAAGAAUUAUGCUGAGAAUCAAACAAAAUUUUAAUUUUCAUGUUACUGAAUUAUAACUGCUAUUAAAUUCACACAUAUUCUG